GACGAACGCUGGCGGCGUGCUUAACACAUGCAAGUCGAACGAUGAACUUGGAGCUUGCUCUGGGGGAUUAGUGGCGAACGGGUGAGUAACACGUGAGUAACCUGCCCUGGACUCUGGGAUAACUUCGAGAAAUCGGAGCUAAUACCGGAUAGGACCUUGCACCGCAUGGUGUGGGGUGGAAAGUUUUUCGGUUUGGGAUGGACUCGCGGACUAUCAGCCUGUUGGGGAGGUAACGGCUCACCAAGGCGUCGACGGGUGGCCGGGCUGAGAGGGUGACCGGCCACACUGGGACUGAGACGCGGCCCAGACUCCUGCGGGAGGCAGGAGUGGGGAAUAUUGCACAAUGGGGGCAAGCCAGAUGCAGCAAAGCCGCGUGCGGGAUGACGGCGUUCGGGUUGUAAACCGCUUUUAGUAGGGAAGAAGCGUUCGGGUGACGGUACCUGCAGAAAAAGGACCGGCUAACUACGUGCCAGCAGCCGCCGCAGUAA
rnacentral:rRNA from 1 species